rnacentral:rRNA from 1 species
GAUGAACGCUAGCGGCAGGCCUAACACAUGCAAGUCGAGGGGUAACUAGAGCGAUAGCAAUAUUACUUUGGCCAGACCGGCGCACGGGUGCGUAACACGUAUGCAACCUACCUUAUACUGGGGAAUAACUUCGAGAAAUCGGCGCUAAUACCCCAUAACACUGCGGAGAGGCAUCUCUUUGCAGUUAAAGCUCCGGCGGUAUAAGAUGGGCAUGCGUCCAAUCAGCUAGUUGGUGAGGUAACGGCUCACCAAGGCUACGAUUGGUAGGGGUUCUGAGAGGAUGAUCCCCCACACUGGUACUGAGACACGGACCGGACUCCUACGGGAGGCAGCAGUGAGGAAUAUUGCGCAAUGGACGAAAGUCUGACGCAGCCAUGCCGCAUGUAGGAUGACGGCCCUAUGGGUUGUAAACUGCUUUUGUACGGGAAUAAACCCUUCUACGUGUAGGAGGCUGAAGGUACCGUAAGAAUAAGCACCGGCUAACUCCGUGCCAGCAGCCGCGGUAA